CCUACGGGAGGCAGCAGUGAGGAAUAUUGGUCAAUGGGCGGGAGCCUGAACCAGCCAAGCCGCGUGAGGGAAGAAGGUACAGCGUAUCGUAAACCUCUUUUGUCGGGGAGCAAAGGCGGGUACUAGUCCCCGGAUGAGGGUACCUGAAGAAAAAGCAUCGGCUAACUCCGUGCCAGCAGCCGCGGUAAUCCGGAGGAUGCGAGCGUUAUCCGGUUUUAUUGGGUUUAAGGGGUGCGCAGGGGGCCUGUUAAGUCAGCGGUCAAAGCCCGGGGCUCAACCCCGGCGAGCCGUUGAAACUGGAGGGCUGGAGUGGGAGAGAAGUAAGCGGAAUGCGCGGUGUAGCGGUGAAAUGCUUAGAUA
rnacentral:rRNA from 1 species